GUUGAUCAUGGCUCAGGAUGAACGCUAGCUACAGGCUUAACACAUGCAAGUCGAGGGGCAGCAUGAUCGAAGCUGCUUGAUUGAUGGCGACCGGCGCACGGGUGAGUAACGCGUAUCCAACCUUCCCUAUAGUAGAGGAUAGCCCGGCGAAAGUCGGAUUAAUACUCUAUGUUUUCCAAUGCAGACAUCUAAAAUGGAACAAAGGUUUACCGCUAUAGGAUGGGGAUGCGUCUGAUUAGGUUGUUGGCGGGUAACGGCCCACCAAGCCUACGAUCAGUAGGGGUUCUGAGAGGAAGGUCCCCCACAUUGGAACUGAGACACGGUCCAAACUCCUACGGGAGGCAGCAGUGAGGAAUAUUGGUCAAUGGGCGAGAGCCUGAACCAGCCAAGUAGCGUGCCAGGAUGACGGCCCUAUGGGUUGUAAACUGCUUUUAUACAGGGAUAAAGUGCGCCACGUGUGGCGUUUUGUAGGUACUGUAUGAAUAAGGACCGGCUAAUUCCGUGCCAGCAGCCGC
rnacentral:rRNA from 1 species